rnacentral:lncRNA from 1 species
CUCGCAGACAUCAUAUUACACUGGGAGAGUCGGGGUCACCAGCCUGAAAUUCCUCGCCUCAAGUUUGCACGCGAAAUCGCUAAAAUAGUAUUGAAGCGUGAGGAAGAUAAAAAGGAUAUUUUGUUCGACCUUUGGACAGAUUUUCUUAUCUACGCUGCCAACCGAUGCAACAGGGAAUCGCAUGCUAGGAAUCUGAACACUGGCGGUGAGUUCACCACCGUUGAUCUUGACAACCAUUUGAAGAAGAAAAUACCGUAG